rnacentral:lncRNA from 1 species
UCUGCCUCCCAAGUGCUGGGAUUAAAGGUGUGUGCCACUACUGCAUGGCUAAAUGUUUUCUUAUUUAAAUAAAUAAAUAAAUAAAUAAAUAAAUAAAUAAAUAAAUAAAUAAAAUAGGGAUGGUAAAUAAGAACUAAGUUAGAAACUGAAAGAUGUCCAAUUUGGAAAAAAAAAAAGAUAAAGGUUGUUUUUCUUCAUUACGAAUAAAAAUAUUUACAUUAGAUCCGGUGGAGGAGAAAUAUAUUUAUACCAGUGAGUUUGAAUGUUGGUAUUACAGAAGCAUGAAGUAGCUCAGAAAAUAGAAACAACUUAGUGACUAAAAUGAUCUCUCAGGAUGCACGUGAAGAAUACUGCAGUUUGUGGUGAAGUGUCUCAUGCUAAAAUCCAAUCUCAAAACACCUUCUGUCAGCUCACACAGUCGUCUGUGCCCGUUGUGGUUAGCCAACAUGGCACUAUCUGCUAAUCUGUUGCAGUUUAUUAGAUCCGACAGAACUAUCACCUCCAUAAUGAAUCAUUAUGCAGGCAGAGCCAGCCCUCGGUCUCUGCUCCUGGGAACAGGCUGUGUGCUUUCUGCUGCAGUUCCUUAUCUUGCCUACUUAUCCUCUUUUCCUCCUCCCCAGGCCUGUCUUAGUCAACAAUGCUGUCUUUGUGUCCCAUGAAACUAGAAAAAUCAGCUUCCUUUCGGGUGUUGUGUCCUGUUUAAUCAAACCACUAUAAUCAGAAAAAGACUUCCAGUUCACUAACAGUGAUGAGAGUUAACACUCUUCUAAAAUUGGUGUUUAACUUUCUCUCUCCUUCCUCCUUUGCCCCUACUUUUCUCCACAGCUGCCAAGUAUCUCAACCAAGUAAUUGAUUAGCAGUAGCAGCAAUAGCUGGAGAUGUACCCCACACGAAUGAUCGAAGGGUACCAAUGAGGAAAAUGACUUAGAAUCUAACUUUGGCUGGAGUCCUUGGUUGUGUUUCAUAGAAUGUUUGUUCUCCUGCCUUGAGGUUAUUUGGUGGGCCAUGAAAAUGCUAGAAAUCAAGAUAAUGAAUAAUUCAGCCUGAAACUCCUGUGAAAGCUAUCUUUCAAAACGAUAGAGUGGAGCCGCACUCUCUGCAAACUUAGUGUAGCGAGCAAAGCAGAAAACAAACAAGCAAACAAACACUGCUUUUUGACAAAGGGGCGAGAAGAGAAAUCUCAGGUUUCCGUCAUUUCGAUCCACACUCCUUGUAAACACAGUAGAGAACAAAACCCGGACUGGGUGACAUUUGGUAUUCAUUUCCUUGGCAUUUUACUUUGAUCAGUAAAAAGGGAAAUGGAGAUGAAAACAUUUUUAAAAGACAACCAUUUCCCCCCCCC